rnacentral:rRNA from 1 species
UACGGAGGGAGCUAGCGUUGUUCGGAAUUACUGGGCGUAAAGCGCUCGUAGGCGGCUUUGUAAGUUAGAGGUGAAAGCCCGGGGCUCAACCCCGGAAUUGCCUUUAAGACUGCAUCGCUUGAAUCCGGGAGAGGUGAGUGGAAUUCCGAGUGUAGAGGUGAAAUUCGUAGAUAUUCGGAAGAACACCAGUGGCGAAGGCGGCUCACUGGACCGGUAUUGACGCUGAGGUGCGAAAGCGUGGGGAGCAAACAGG